UGUUCAACUGGCUCAGCUGCUUCUAGCUCAUAUAAUGUCCUUUCAGAUAUGGUUAAGAAACUGUCAGAAGCAGUUAUUCAGGGAGGAAGGGCAGGCUGAAAGGAGCAGAAUUACACACAGGUACUCGAGCCUCAAUUCAGACCUGGGAGCAAAUAAUGCAAAUAGUGAAGGAAGGGUGGUUGUCUGUGUUCCAGGAUGAGAUUUUUUAUUCACAGGUAAGUUUUUGGUGGUACAGCCAAGGCUAAAAAAUGUCUAUAUCCAUCAUUUCCAGCACCUAGGGAUGCGUUUGCUAUGCAUGAGUAGUCCUGUGGACUUCAUGGGCUCUGCUUGCUGGUUGGAAAUGCAGCUUGUUUGUGCUCAGGGAUCAGCCAGUUCUCACUGCAGCAGAGCUGUUCCAGGCAGUAAGGCCACAGGGAUAGAGCUGAAGGGAAACUACUGGAAGCCAUUGGGAAAGGCCUACUACGUCAUCUUGUCCCUGGUCUGCCAUGUACUUUUUAAGUUUUCAUUUUUCCAGGUACUUUCUGUUCCUCGCCAGUUACGGUCUUGCCAAGUUUUACAGGAUUUGUUUCUUCUUCCAGCCUGUCAGCUUGGAAGGCCCAGCUGAGAUUUUGAAAGGGCCUACCUGCCAGGAGAAUGGAUAAAUUCUGUAACAUUACAGUGGUGUUCGCUUGGCAGCAUCUGCAGGAGCCACUAAUGGAGGAUCUCAUCUUGUGGGGGAAAAAAAAAAAGGUUAAAAAAGGAGAGAAAUGCAGCUGGAAGAAGAGGAGAUUCAGAAGCAAAGGGAAGAUGUCGAUGCCAAGUGAAAACAGCACCAUGCUCUGGGUCUCUAUGAAGGAGGAGAGGUUUUAGUGAAAAGCACUCUGGAAAUCAAUAGGGUUGCUUUUCGUGCUGGUGAUCUUCCUACUUGCACAGCAAACUUUUCUCCUGCAGAAAUCAGUGGAACAACCUACUUCUCCUUUUUUGUUGCACAAAAAUGCAACUGCUCAGCCUGCAAGUUUAGCAGAGGAAAUUUUACUUGGCUAUCAGUUAUGGAAAAUUAAGGGAAUCUGGACACUCAUCCUUAAUCUUACUAUGAGAGGAAGGAUAGUUGCCCAUUGCAACAUUUGGAAGCUGUGAAAAAAAA